UACGGAGGGUGCAAGCGUUGUCCGGAAUCACUGGGCGUAAAGGGCGCGUAGGCGGCCUGGUAAGUAGGGGGUGAAAUCCUGCGGCUUAACCGCAGGGCUGCCUUCUAAAGUGUCAGGCUUGAGCACGGUAGAGGCAGAUGGAAUUCCCGGUGUAGCGGUGGAAUGCGUAGAGAUCGGGAAGAACAUCAGUGGCGAAGGCGGUCUGCUGGGCCGUUGCUGACGCUGAGGCGCGACAGCGUGGGGAGCAAACAGA
rnacentral:rRNA from 1 species